GUUUUUUUUAGGUUUUUUUAUAGGGGGUCUGCUGAUGAGACUUGUUUUAUGUUUGUAAAAUUUAACAACAUGCCGUGUCUAUAUAUCAAAAUCUAAAACGUAAGGUUAUUAACGCAAAGUUUCUAAACAUGAGGGGCACUUUAUCAUAUUAUUAGAUUAGAUACCAGUACCCAAACCGUUUGGGGGGUUUUGGAACAAAUACGAGGAUGGGAACUCGAGAAGUGUACGAGGAGAGACUGAGAAGAGGAAAUCUAGAGCAUGAUCCCACCAUCAAUCCUGGUCUUGGCAACCCCCGUUGCCCCCGUUGUCUCUCUCUCGUGAAUCCUCAUUCAGAAAACGAGGAGUGGACUAUCACCCCAGUUCUACAUGAUGCCACUGCUGUGGCUGGCUGUGGAAUUGGUGGAAUGCUUAGUGCAAUUCAUGGUUUCAACACAGGAAUUCCAUUUGUUCAGAAACAUGUCAAGGGACCAAAGUGGCUUCCUUUUAUUAUAGGGGUUCCUCCACUUCUGAUUUGCUCUGCUGCUAGUGCUGUCUUUGGAGGCUAUGCCCUUCCCAAAUUCACGCAACUCACUGUGACAUCAUAUUAUGCUGCAUCAAGUGCAUCACAUUAUGGCAUCUCGUUGUUAACUAGACGCAUUGAAGAGGCCAACACAUCCCAUUCACCGCCAAAAAGGAUUAAAUAACAAGCUGCAGAAUUGCAGGUUAUCUGCUGCAUACAUUAAGAAAAAAAGAUAAGUCUAUGGCCUACUGGUGGCCUCAAAUUUGUCUCAAGGAUUCACUAUACAUAACACUGCCAUUUAAUAAUUGAAUGCUACGACAUGAGUUUCAAACCAAAGCUUCAGGUUCUCCAAAACUAAUUAUUAUUUGGAUCGGAUCUACUUCAUUUACUUAAGGGAAGUAAACUUGCUCAGCUCAUAUUACAAACCUUACAUUGAAUUAUUCCAAUGGUUAGUUUGGGAAUGAACUAAGUAAUACUCUGUCUGGUUGAUUAUCUAUUACUACUGCAUAGCUUGCUCAAGCAGCAGUGUAGUUGACAAAUUUUUAUUCUUUUAUCUAUUGUAAUGCCAAAGGAGAAUAUGUAAUGAGGCAAAAUUUCUACUGCAGAAUAUAGAUGCAGUUCCAUUAUAAGUUAUACAUGGUACCUUAGUAACUA